UGUCUAUUCUCUUCAGCAGUCCAAGCCCGAGUCCAAAUUGCCCAAGGAGUGAGAGACACACUAGUCUCAUCCUGAAUUCCAUCCAGGGUGUUGAGGAUUGAUUGGUAUGUUGGGACUGCUUCUUCUGUUAUCAUAUCCCCAACCAACACCACAAAAUAGUCAUCAGAAAGUUCCUUUGUUCUUUCCCUCAGCUCCUUAACCUGAUCGUAGAACUCUUCAGAGUCAGGUUCUGGCAGAAAAUCCUGCGGCUGCCAGGACUUCUCGACAGGCUUUAGAAGUGUCAAUAAGUUCUUCUCAGCCCAACCCUCCAAGGAUUUGAAAAUCUCAAUCUUUUGUGGUGGCAUGGAAUGAGUUAUUUGAAAAUGCACCUCUUUGGCAGGGCGGUAGGAUCUUUCUACAUUUACCUUCUCCCUGAAACUUGUAGCAGUGGAUUGGGGGGUGGAGGCCAUCAAGAUUUUGGAAGACUUGGCAUUUUGGGUUGGGAAGGCUACUGGACCAAGAUUCAGAAUCAUUUUUGCUUACUUAGUAGUAAUGAAGUAGGCAAAACUAAAGAAGAGAUGGACAGAAGUUACAGAACAGGAAAAUAAUUACAGAGGUGGCGCAGGUGGAAAUUAAUUACAGGGCAAGAAGGACG
rnacentral:misc_RNA from 1 species